CAGGGGGCCCUUAUCGAAGCUGCAACUGCUUCCUCAUAGCUGCUGUGGUCAAAAAGGAGCCCAGAGUAAGUUUUUUCCUUGACGGUCGCUGUUCUGUUUGUUGUAACUGAUCUGCAACAUUUUCGGGAAAAAACAAUU
ensembl:snoRNA